rnacentral:rRNA from 1 species
UACGAAGGGGGCUAGCGUUGCUCGGAAUUACUGGGCGUAAAGGGCGCGUAGGUGGCCUGUUAAGUCGAACGUGAAAUCCCCGGGCUCAACCCGGGAACUGCGUCCGAGACUGGCAGGCUCGAAUCCGGGAGAGGGAUGUGGAAUUCCAGGUGUAGCGGUGAAAUGCGUAGAUAUCUGGAGGAACACCGGUGGCGAAGGCGGCAUCCUGGACCGGUAUUGACGCUGAGGCGCGAAAGCUAGGGGAGCAAACGGG